UGGGACCAUGUACCAGCGGUAGAAAAGUUUACGGGUGAUCUCUAAGUGUGAAGCGCAAAACGUCAGGCCUCUUGUUGCAUUUACUGCGGUCAGCCAGGUCUGCUCUGACAGUGUUUGAUCUAGGUCUUUUUCCCAGGAGCGUACACAAGUAAGGGAUUUAAUUCCUUGUUGGGGCAGUAAUAGCCUGUAUAUGGUGGAGAUGGGUUUUUUC